GUGAAUCAUCGAAUUUUUGAACGCAAAUUGCACUCUCUUCGGAGAGUAUGCCUGUUUGAGGGUCAGCCUAAAAAAAAAAUCGACAUAGUCUCUGUUUCGCGGUGACAUUCGUCGGAAAUUGGGUUAUCUUAAACCUUUGGUUUUUAAGCGGCUUAAAAUUUUCUUUACGAUUCCACGAACGUUUCUAAGAUUUACUUCUUUUCAGUUUAAUGUAUCAUCCUUUAUUAUUCGU
rnacentral:misc_RNA from 1 species